rnacentral:rRNA from 1 species
AACGAACGCUGGCGGCGUGGAUAAGACAUGCAAGUCGAACGGGACUUUUUUUUGUAGCAAUACAGAAAAAAGUCUAGUGGCGAACGGGUGCGUAACACGUGAGCAACCUGCCGAGAAGUGGGGGAUAGCUCGCCGAAAGGCGAAUUAAUACCGCAUGUGGCUAAGAAAGACAUCUUUCUGACGCCAAAGCCGGGGCAACCUGGCGCUUCUUGAGGGGCUCGCGGCCUAUCAGCUUGUUGGUGAGGUAACGGCUCACCAAGGCUAUGACGGGUAGCUGGUCUGAGAGGACGACCAGCCACACUGGAACUGAGACACGGUCCAGACACCUACGGGUGGCAGCAGUCGAGAAUUUUUCACAAUGGGGGAAACCCUGAUGGAGCGACGCCGCGUGGAGGAUGAAGGUUUUCGGAUUGUAAACUCCUGUCAUUAGAGAACAAUUCGCCGGCAGUAACUGCGCCGGCGUUGAUAGCAUCUGAGGAGGAAGAGACGGCUAACUCUGUGCCAGCCGCCGCGGUAAAAC